AGUGACUGUGGAGCCGUCCUUGAAAUACCACCCUGGUGACUUUGAGGUUCUAACCCGGAUCCAUGAACUGGAUCGGGGACCGUGCAUGGUAGGCAGUUUGACUGGGGCGGUCUCCUCCCAAAGAGUAACGGAGGAGUUCGAAGGUUACCUAGGUCCGGUCGGAAAUCGGACUGAUAGUACAAUGGCACAAGGUAGCUUAACUGCGAGACCGACAAGUCGAGCAGGUGCGAAAGCAGGACAUAGUGAUCCGGUGGUUCUGAAUGGAAGGGCCAUCGCUCAACGGAUAAAAGGUACUCCGGGGAUAACAGGCUGAUUCCGCCCAAGAGUUCAUAUCGACGGCGGAGUUUGGCACCUCGAUGUCGGCUCAUCACAUCCUGGGGCUGUAGUCGGUCCCAAGGGUAUGGCUGUUCGCCAUUUAAAGUGGUACGUGAGCUGGGUUUAAAACGUCGUGAGACAGUUUGGUCCCUAUCUGCAGUGGGCGUUGGAAGUUUGACGGGGGCUGCUCCUAGUACGAGAGGACCGGAGUGGACGAACCUCUGGUGUACCGGUUGUGACGCCAGUCGCAUCGCCGGGUAGCUAAGUUCGGAAGAGAUAAACGCUGAAAGCAUCUAAGCGUGAAACUCGCCUGAAGAUGAGACUUCCCUAGGGAUUUAAUCCCUCUAAAGAGACGUUCGAGACCAGGACGUUGAUAGGUCGGGUGUGGAAGAGUGGUAACACUUGCAGCUAACCGAUACUAAUUGCUCGUGAGGCUUGACUCUAU
rnacentral:rRNA from 1 species